CCUACGGGUGGCAGCAGUGAGGAAUAUUGGUCAAUGGCCGGAAGGCUGAACCAGCCAAGCCGCGUGAAGGACGAAGGUGCCAAGCACUGUAAACUUCUUUUGUCAAGGGACAAAAUCAGGCUCGAGAGCCUGACCGAGGGUACUUGACGAACAAGCAUCGGCUAACCCCGUGCCAGCCGCCGCGGUAAUACGGAGGGUGCGAGCGUUAUCCGGAUUUAUUGGGUUUAAAGGGUGCGUAGGCGGGCUGUUAAGUCAAGGGGGAAAGUCCCGGGCUCCACCCCGGCGGGGCCGUUGAAACUGGCGGUCUGGAGAGGGCGAGAGGUAUGCGGAAUGCGCAGUGUAGCGGUGAAAUGCUUAGAUAUUGCGCAGAACUCCGAUUGCGAAGGCAGCAUACCGGCGGAGAUCUGACGCUGAGGCACGAAAGCGUGGGUAUCGAACAGGAUUAGAUACCCUAGUAGUC
rnacentral:rRNA from 1 species